UUCAUAUCUUUGAAAAUUUUUGAAUUAUUACUCGAUUUCCGAUGAUUUGAUAUAAUUUUUUUGUUAAUUCAUUUUUUGAUUUUGCCUAAUUUGAUGCUUUUAUUCAUUUCUACAUCUUAAUCAUUUUGGUACUGAUUUUGCCAUUUUCCUUAGUCUAUGUUGAUGGAUCGGAUAUUCAAGUUUAUGUAACUUGUGUAUUCAUUCAUUGUGUUACACACGGUAAUCCUUUGUGCUUCUAUGAUUAACCUACAACUCAGCUUGGUGGUUCGAACGACUCAUCUGCGUUUUUUAAGGCCUCGACGACUAAAUUAUACAAGCUUGAAAAUGUGUUGCAGACACACACCAAGACAGUGACUUAUAUAUUCAAAAUCAAAAACUUCUAUCGGAACUUCAAAGAAAAAGAAAAGGAAAAAGUUAUUUAUUCAAGUAUCAAAUUGUAGCCGACACUCACCAACAAUGACGUUAGUCUAGAGGAAAAAAGGCUCGGCAGUAGCAUCAUGACUGAAUAACAGCAAAGCAGGCUUGCAACAUGUUCAAUGUAGUAACUUAUCAACUAUCGUGGAAGUAAACACAAACUUUCCAAAUGGCAGUUUUUAGUGGCAAACAGGCUAAAGUGCCCCGUCUCUUGUGAAAUGCAAACACUUCAGCAGCCAAUUUCAUUUUCAAGGUUUUUUCAGCCAUCAUUACAAAACUCACAAUCGAUGCAGGGGAGCCCGCAAAUCUCCAGGGAAAUUGAUUCUCAGUUGCACGCAUCAUUGCACUCAAAUCGAACAGUAGUAUUGUAGAGCAGCAGCAUGAUCAUAAGGUUUUCUUUAAUCAUGUUAUCACAUAAUUUGUUGUAUUUCUUAGAUGUUUAGACUUCAAUGUUGUUUGAUGUUGGGACCACUGAACUGGCAGCUGAUAAUUUUUUAGAUCUGUGUAGUUGAUUGUGUGGCUAUUGAAGUAAUAGACUACAAAUUAGAAAGGGAAGAUGGGGAGGAGUAUUCAUAUGGUAGUUGCAUGACCUUCAUGGCUGCUAUAUUAGUAUGUUUAAAAAAUUUGAUUAUUGUAUGUUUAACAACAGUCGUGCUCGACAAUGACAACAAUAGCCCAACAGCAAAGGCAGCAAAUACAGAUUGGUUGCAUUUAGCUUUAUUUAGACAAUGACAUCAAUGAAAGAAUACCACCACCAGGCAGCAGUCCAAUAGUGAUGACAGGAGCAUGAAGUGAAACAAUACAGAUUGGACUUCAUAUGUGAUCAUGGUGACUAGAAUUUAGUUGCAUUUACUACAGUCAAGCAUGCUACCUUAGCUUUAUUUGCAACUGAGUUAUAGUUAUGCAUGCUACCUUACGUGAAAUAAUACAUGUUUUCCUUAUUCAAACAUCUGUUUGUUUUGGUAACUUAGAUGUAGUCAAAUUUUUAUUGACAUAUCUGAAUGCUAAAUGCAAUGAAUGGUACUAAGCGUUGAAAUAUUUUUUAGUCCAACAUCGAAUAAUAGCCUAUGACUUCCCUUUCUUUUUGUCAACAAGCCACUUUUUUUAUACUUUUUUUUUAUUAUUGAUGUUAAUGUACUGUUUAAUUUGGUACUCUUAUACAUUUGGUCACUGAUCAACUGUGGAUAUUGGUAUUGAAAGCAUUAAUUUAUAAAUGUUCCAUUCAAUUAAAGUUAUAUUUAUAUUUAUAUUU